rnacentral:rRNA from 1 species
UGUUGGCUUAGAAGCAGCCAUCAUUUAAAGAAAGCGUAAUAGCUCACUGGUCGAGUCGGCCUGCGCGGAAGAUGUAACGGGGCUAAGUAGUAAACCGAAGCUGCGGCAAUGUACUUUAGUGCAUUGGGUAGGGGAGCGUUCUGUAAGCGGUUGAAGGUGUGUGGUAACGCAUGCUGGACGUAUCAGAAGUGCGAAUGCUGACAUGAGUAACGAUAAAGGGGGU